rnacentral:rRNA from 1 species
AUACGGAGGGUGCAAGCGUUAAUUGGAAUUACUGGGCGUAAAGGGUACGUAGGCGGUUAAAUAAGUUGGAUGUGAAAGCCCCGGGCUCAACCUGGGAACUGCAUUCAAAACUGUUUGACUAGAGUGUAUGAGAGGUUGGCGGAAUUCCAGGUGUCGCAGUGAAAUGCGUAGAUAUCUGGAGGAACAUCAGUGGCGAAGGCGGCCAACUGGCAUAACACUGACGCUGAGGUACGAAAGCGUGGGGAGCGAACGGGAUUAGAAACCCCAGUAGUCC